rnacentral:rRNA from 1 species
GACGAACGCUGGCGGCGUGCUUAACACAUGCAAGUCGACCUGAAUUUGGGUUUUUACCUUAGGUUUGGGUGGCGGACGGGUGAGUAACGCGUAAAGAACUUGCCUCCCUGCUAGGGAGAACAUUUGAAAACGCAUGCUAAAACCUAAUAUUAUGAUAAUAGGUCAUCCUAUAAUUAUGAAAGCUAUAAGCGCUGUGAGAGAGCUUUGCGUCCCAUUAGCUAGUUGGUGAGGUAACGGCUCACCAAGGCGAUGAUGGGUAGCCGGUCUGAGAGGGUGAUCGGCCAAAAGGGGAUUGGGAAAGGGCCCGUACGCCAACGGGAGGAAGCAGUGGGGAAUUUUCGAAAAGGGACCGAGAGUGUGAUCCAGCAGUUCGGUGUGCAAGAUGAAGUUUUUCGGAAUGUAAAGUGCUUUCAGUUGGGGAGAAGCGAAUGACGGUACCAACAGAAGAAGCGACGGCUAAAUACGUG